UUGCCGCGUUGCGUGUUCUAGCAAACGUUCUAGCAAACGCUCUCACUAGCAAACUAGCUCGUUUGCUAGUGAGACCGCCGAAUCCUAACCACUAGACAACCAGGGACGAAAACCGAGAAAUUGGUGGCCUCUUCGCUGGCCAUGCUGGCCCCUGUCUACCACCAAAAGCUCCUACGAAAGGCACGUGAGCAUCAGCACUGGAAAGUGGAGCAAUAAGAUGGUGGCUUGGUCUGAUGAAUCAUGUUUUCUUUUACAUCAUGUAUGGCUUAGGGUUAGGGUUAGAAAGGCACGUGAGCAUCAGCACUGGAAAGUGGAGCAAUAAGAUGGUGGCUUGGUCUGAUGAAUCAUGUUUUCUUUUACAUCAUGUAUGGCUUAGGGUUAGGGUUAGAAAAGGCUUGAAAAGACGCUUGGCCAAGGAGUUGCACUUAAGCCUUGUCUUAUGCUCCAUUCCGGUUAAGGCUUGUGAAGACGGUUGGCACUUUGGAAAUGAUCAAAACAUAAGUGAGCCAAGGAAUUGCACUUAAGCCUUGUCUCAUGCUCCAUUCCCGUGAUGGGCAAGAGAACAUGGCACUGGACUUGAGCUGCACUGGGGUUUUACCUGUGCAAAUUGAAGCCUGCUAUGAACCUGUGUCUUAGUGCAGAGAAAACGCUGUUCAGAUGAGCAAGCAAGCGCCUUGGCAUUAAUCAAACAAGCUCGUGCCGAACAAAUCUUCCAUCCUAGGAAAUUGCUUUGACGUAAAGCAAGUCAUCCGAAUGUGUACUUUUAAACGCUCUGUUUACUUAAUUGAAGCAAAUGCACUGAAGAGGUGCAGAAAGAUGAGAAUAUAAACAUGGACAAACACGUUUAUAGGCUCCAGAAAAAAAUAGUCUAAGCGUUUCCUUAAAUCACUUUUGCCGAGUUGCGUGUUCUAGCAAACGUUCUAGCAAACGCUCUCACUAGCAAACUAGCUCGUUUGCUAGUGAGACCGCCGAAUCCUAACCACAAGACAGCCAGGGACGAAAACCGAGAAAUUGGUGGCCUCUUCGCUGGCCAUGCUGGC
ensembl:lncRNA